UACGUAGGGUGCGAGCGUUAAUCGGAAUUACUGGGCGUAAAGCGUGCGCAGGCGGUUGUGCAAGACCGAUGUGAAAUCCCCGGGCGUUAACCUGGGAACUGGCAUUGGUGACUGCACGGCUAGAGUGUGUCAGGAGGGGGGAGGAAUUCCAACGUGUAGCAGUGAAAUGCGUAGAUAUGCGGAGGAACACCGAUGGCGAAGGCAUCCCCUGGACCUGUACUGACGCUCAUGCA
rnacentral:rRNA from 1 species